rnacentral:rRNA from 1 species
UGGGGAAUAUUGGACAAUGGGCGGAAGCCUGAUCCAGCCAUGCCGCGUGUGUGAAGAAGGCCUUUUGGUUGUAAAGCACUUUAAGCGAGGAGGAGGCUACUUGGAUUAAUACUCUAGGAUAGUGGACGUUACUCGCAGAAUAAGCACCGGCUAACUCUGUGCCAGCAGCCGCGGUAAUACAGAGGGUGCGAGCGUUAAUCGGAUUUACUGGGCGUAAAGCGUGCGUAGGCGGCUUCUUAAGUCGGAUGUGAAAUCCCUGAGCUUAACUUAGGAAUUGCAUUCGAUACUGGGAAGCUAUAGUAUGGGAGAGGAUGGUAGAAUUCCAGGUGUAGCGGUGAAAUGCGUAGAGAUCUGGAGGAAUACCGAUGGCGAAGGCAGCCAUCUGGCCUAAUACUGACGCUGAGGUACGAAAGCAUGAGGAGCAAACAGG